rnacentral:lncRNA from 1 species
CUCCAUAGGUUUUAACUGAACAAAUGAAUGAUGUGUGUUCAGUACUUAGCCUAGUGCUUAGUCCAUGGUAAGCACUCAGUCAGUGGCAGCUACCCUCACCCUCAUGCUCCCCUGUGGGUUCGAGUACCGCUUGGCUAAUAUAGAGGUAAUUUGGACCUUCUGUGUGCACACAGUCUGAAUUUCUGAGAACACAACCAUGAAAUGCUCAGCUAAAAGAUUUUCUGUGAGUAUUUUUAGUCCGACUUGAAGGCUCCGGGAAAACCUCAGAAAGGAGGGUAUCAUGUGAGCUGACCUUGGAAGGAUCAGUCCGAUUUCAGUAGAGAGAACAGUCGGGUGGGCAGGGAGGUGACACACUGCAUGCUGAAGGGACAGCUGGAGCAUGUAGAGCAUGUGGGGAAACUCACCUCUUCAGAAAUGACAAGUGUUCCCAGUGUGAGGAAUGAUACGGCAGGAGGCGAGUCUGGCAGGGUCUAGACGGUGAUGGGAACCCUUUGUGUAAAGGGGUAGGUAGCAGAUAUUUUAGGCCCUUAUAUAUUGCAUAACCAGAGAGAACAAAUUUCCCAAACUUUUAUUGAUAAAAUUCAAAAUAUAAUCAUAAUCAUAACUGAAUAUAACCUUUGGGAAUAUGGGUCUACUAAUGAGCAAAAUGGAUUUUUUAGGGGAAUAGCAUUUGCUGAAAUUGGGUCCAAAAUGAAUGUUCUUUUUUAUCAUAUCGAUUGCCAACAUUUAUCUACAAAGUCAUUCUUAGCUCCUGGCUGAACAAAAACAGGUCAAGGGCCAGAUUUGACUCCAGGAGCACAGUUUGCCAGUCUCUGAUCUACAUCAUUAAGGGCAGAAUACAGUGCCAACAAGUUUCAGACUCCGUAAUGUGCAAAUAACCUCCUGAACAGAGUGCCUGAGGAUGCUUGGUUUGAUCCUGCCUGAUUAAGUACAUCCUUUAUUCCUCCCGAGUGACGUAGUCACUCUCUUGCUUCCUUACAUCUGAAAAGCAAUGGGGCACUGAAGUACAUGUGAGGGUCUCCUUGUCUUCAUAUGUAAUGAGUCAUCAACCCAUCUCUCAUAGCAACCAAGGAUACAAGGUACAGGAGUCACCAUUAUGAGAUAUCACCAGUCUCUGGCUGAUAUGACUUCCCCCAGGAGCCCUGAACAGGCUUUAAAAAAAAAAACAAACCAGACAAGGAAAAGGUGAUGUUAAAAUUACAGAGGUGAGUUCCCUUUUGGUGCAGUGGGUAAGGACCUGGUGUUGUCACUGCAUGGCCUGAGUUGCUGCUGUGGCUCGGGUUCAACCCCUGGCCCAGGACCUCCCACAUAAUGCAAUUCAAUUCAGUUUAUAUUCAAUUCGUUCAUUCUAUUUAAUUCACUUCAUACUUGUUGACUAUUUCCUAUAUCUAAGACACCGAGCUCAGCUCUGGGGAUAUGACCGUGAGGCCCCCAGUCUGGGGCAUCCUUAUUUACUCUGUGUCUGUUGCUACUUCACAGCAGGGAGAAGUAUGAUGAGGCGGAUUAUGGGGGGGAUGAUGAUGGAAAGGGAGGAAGAGGCAGAAGGAGACCUUGCACUGGCGUAAGCGUGAGUGCUUUUAACCAGAAAGGUCUUUAGGGGGAAAUAGAAGAGGGAAGAGCUCUGAAGAACCAGAGGAACAUAAAGGAAAUUAAUUAAUAGUCAGGGUUACCGAUCUGGUAGCCAGGGUGCAGUGGACCAACCACAUAUCCUGGCAUCAGAUAAACCUCAGUUCAGAUCCCAGCCUUUCCAUUUGCUGUUUCUGUAACUUGGUGAAGUUAUGUCCAGUCUCUGAGCUUCAGUUUCCUCCGCCAGAAAAUGGCCAGUCAUAGGUGACACGUGUCAUAGGUUGUGUGGAUGUGAACGUGUUCUGUAAACCGCUAGGUCCUUGUAAUUUUAAGCCUUAAUACUCAGAAAUGCACAGUAGUUGAGAGGCCAGGAGAGCAGUUAGUCGAGGAUCAGGGUUAAGUUCCUGGAUUACAGCUGUGAGCAGGACAGACGUGGUUCAUCACGGGUGAGCAGCACAGCGAUGGGGCGUUAGGCAUGUAUUCCAAUAACGAAUGUGAAUGCAGCCGUGAGGCAUCUUAGGCACAGAGAGUACAAGGGGCUAACAGAGCUGUCCUGUUCCUCACCCGGAGCAGGAGUUGGAGCAUCAUCUGAGGAAGCAGCGUUUCAGCCAAGCCCUGCAGGAGGGAGCCGAGCUUUGACGUCUGCUCCACCUCCCGCGUGACCCUGAACAAGCCUCUCCUCCUCUGGCUUCAUUUUCCUCAUCUGUCAUUAGAGGGCUGGCCCGGUCCCCUCUCAGUCCUUCCCAGGGCUGAGAGACCAGACUCAAAGGCCCCAGCACAAGGUGCCAAAGCGCGCUUGUCAUCAGCUUGCGGUAGACAACACGGGGUAGAGGAGGGAGCCGUGACCGUGAUCCGAAAAUCCAAUGACAUUGAAGAGGGAGCUUGUGGCCACGGAUUUGGUUUCAUCCAUUUGAUGCUUCUCUCCUUCCAUUCUGAAUAGCUGAUGCUUUCUUGUCCGAGAAAUCUUCAAAGCACUUUUCAUUUUCUUUCUUUUUUUCUUUUUCAGAACUUGAAAAAAUACUGGGAGUUCCUGUUGUAGCUCAGUGGUAACAAACCCAGCUAGUGUCCAUGAGGACUCAGGGUUGAUCCCUGGCCUCGCUCAGAGAGUUAAGGAUCUGGCAUUGCUGUGCCUGUGGUGUAGACCAGCAGCUGCAGCUCCAAUUUGAUCCCUAGCCUGGGAACUUCCAUAUGCUGUGGGUACGGCCCU